AUGUGUAGACCUGAUGGCAUCAACAUCCCAGAUGGCAAGUUCUACCUAGGAGAUGCUGGCUAUGCAUGUCGGCCAGGUGUUCUUCCGUCCUUCAGGAAAACCAGGUACCAUCCAAAUGAGUUCUCUGGUAGGAACUAUCCUAGGACUCAUCGAGAACUGUUCAAUCUUAGAGACUCCAGCCUUAGAGUAAUGGUUGAGAGGGCAUUUGGAGCUCUGAAGAAUAGGUUUAAUAUCCUGGAUUAGAAGCCAUUCCAUCCUUACCCUACCCAAGUUAAGCUUGUUCUUGCAUGUUGCAUCCUUCACAACUGGAUCCUACAAUGGGGUUGUGAUGAACUUGUGCCAGAGGAGGAAGAUGUGAAGCUUGAUGAUCCGCUCAGCUCCUUCCAUGUGGAAAAAAGGUUGGAGUGGGCUCAGGCUAUGUGGGAUAACAAAGGUUAG
rnacentral:rRNA from 1 species